rnacentral:rRNA from 1 species
UACAGAGGUCUCAAGCGUUGUUCGGAUUUACUGGGCGUAAAGGGUGCGUAGGCGGCGCCGUAAGUGGGGUGUGAAAUCUCGAGGCUUAACCUAGAAACUGCAUUCCAUACUGCGGUGCUUGAGGACUGGAGAGGAGACUGGAAUUUACGGUGUAGCAGUGAAAUGCGUAGAUAUCGUAAGGAAGACCAGUGGCGAAGGCGGGUCUCUGGACAGUUCCUGACACUGAGACACGAAGGCCAGGGGAGCAAACGGG